rnacentral:lncRNA from 1 species
GUUGGGUCUUGUGUCUAGCUCUUCCUUCCUGCCGGCUGGGGACUGGCUUCCAGGUGUUGGAGGAGAGUGGAGUUUGUUCAGCCCAGUCUGGAGUGGCAUGCUCUUCUUGGUUCAGCCCAAAGACACAGGCUUCUAAAGAGCCAGAAGGUUUGGAUUUGCAAGGCAGACCUAGGAGAGAAUCAACUCCAGUGUGCAACACUGCCAAGGAGGCAGAGGAGCCUGGAAUGAGUUUGAUACAACUCCAAGGAGGGCAAAACGUGCAUAAGAAAAGGAUUGAGUUGGAGCCCUUGAGCUGCAGAUUUGACACCUCUAUGCCAAGGAAACAAAGUACCUAGAACCUUAAGCAAAGUUCAGGAGAAAGUAAGAUGUUCCAGUGUCUAAGGUGAUUCUAUUAUUAAGCAUUUAUAUGACACUUUUUAUUUUCAAAGUGCAUAACAAUCCUUUUUGUGAGUUAUUUUG